rnacentral:rRNA from 1 species
CCCUUAGAUGUCCUGGGCUGCACGCGCGCUACACUGAUGUGUCCAGUAAGCACCUAACCUCUUCCGAAAGGAACGGGUAACCUUUGCAAAGCACAUCGUGAUGGGGAUAGAUUAUUGCAAUUAUUAGUCUUGAACGAGGAAUUCCUAGUAAGCACAAGUCAUCAGCUUGUGUUGAUUACGUCCCUGCCCUUUGUACACACCGCCCGUCGCACCUACCGAUUGAAUGGUUCGGUGAAGAUCUCGGACUUCGAUAUUUAUUCUUUAUUGAGUUUAUAUUGUGGGAAGUUAUCUAAACCUCAUCAUUUAGAGGAAGGUGAAGUCGUAACA